rnacentral:misc_RNA from 1 species
GAUGAAGAACGUAGCGAAAUGCGAUACGUAAUGUGAAUUGCAGAAUUCAGUGAAUAAUCGAAUCUUUGAACGCAUAUUGCGCUCUCUGGUAUUCCGGAGAGCAUGCUUGUUUGAGUAUCAGUAAACACCUCAACUCCCUUUCUUCUUGAAAUGGAGCUGGACUUGAGUGAUCCCAACGCUUUAUUCAUAAAGUGGCGGGUUACUUGAAAUGCAGGUGCAGCUGGACUUUUCUCUGAGCUAUAAGCAUAUCUAUUUAGUCUGCCUCAAAACAGAUUAUUACCUUUGCUGCAGCUAACAUAAAGGAGAUUAGUUCUUGUGCUGACUGAUGCAGGAUUCACAAAGACCGCUUCGGCUGUCUUUGUAAACUCGAUCUCAAAUCAAGUAAGACUACCCGCUGAACUUAAGCAUAUCAAUAAGCGGAGGA